rnacentral:lncRNA from 1 species
AAAAUUGUAACGUUUUACCACAUUUAUUAAAAAAACUAUUAUGUUUAUUUAAAUUAAUUUCAAAAGGGGUUAAAAGACCAAAAAUGCCACAAUUGCAAUUCUUGAAUCAAAUGUAAAAUGGCUACCCUUUAAAUGCUUUUUAGCCCAAAUACAAGGCCCAAUUCGGACCUGACCCAGUCUAAACACCAAUCUCCUUCUCCACUUUGGCAAUCCAAGUCACUCUCCCUAAACCAAUCACAACGUUCCACAUCACUCGCCUUUCUCACUCAUAAAGAAAGCACAAUGAAUCUGGACCGUUGAUCUAUCUAAUCAAUGACACACGUUUUAUUCCCAAAUUUUCCUUUAAUUUUUGUAUCUCACCAGACUCAAUCUCAACCCUCCAAAUCCAACCAUACAAUGAACGUAACGUUUUACAUCCUUUAUUCUUUAAUGCCUAAAUUAUCAUGGCCAUUGAUCAUUAUAUCCAACGGCCCGGAACCUAUCUCUCACUCUUAAACCUAGAUCCACCUCCAAUACCCAAAAACCCUAAAUCAUUCUAACACUCACCCGGCCGCCUCACCUCCCCCUUUCCUCUUCUUCUCUCAUCUCUCUCAAACCCACAAACCCAUCAAUCACCCAAACCUUGCACUAAUUAGUGCAAGGUCACAAGUUCAUUAGAGAAACAUGCUUCCUGUCUCUCAUGUCCGCGAUUCUCGCCGAUUACUUCCCAGUUUUACCAUUCCAUUUCAAAUCUCCCAAUUCUGAACCCUAGGGUUUAAACACGAAACAUCAAAUCUUCGAAUCGCUAUUUUGUUAUGUUAAAUAAAAGCAUGCAUGAGGCUUCUUCAGAGAUUUCAUGAUGAAUAUUCUAUAUCCAGAGGUCAAACACAGUGACCUCUGGGUGUUCGAGCUUUGUUCGCUGAUUCUCACUUCCAACGAUCAACCUUCUCUCCUAUCAGGUAAAACUCCUUACUGAUUUUCCCUCUGCUCUCUUUCAAUUUCACCAAAUCGUGCUCACAUCACCUGGUAAUCGUCAUUUUUCACUAUCUUAGUUUGAAUCAUAAAACCCUAAGCUAAUGAAUGCCACUAUAAAUAGGGCUUUCAAUGCUCUCACCGAACAGGGGAUAAUCACGAACCAACUAUCUAACAUUAAAGAGAUAGCCACACAAAAAACAUUGAGAAUUUUAGCCUUAGGUUUCUCACUAUUUUCCUUUUCCUUUUUGUUGAGUACUAUGGCUGGUCUAAACUUGAGUGUUCUGGGAUCUUAAGCAACUGAAAAGAAUUCUCGUUUGGUCUAGUGCUCUCAAAAAGGUCAGCACCUCUCACCUCUCUCACUUUUCUCUUCUGUUCAUUUUCUUUGAAUGAUAUAAGUAUGCCAAGUUAGGUUAUGUAUAUUGCAAUGGUUCUAUGAUGUUUAAUAUGUUAAUUAAUAUUUGUGCUCUGUUAGUUUAAUGACUACUUGUGAUUAGUUGUCCUCCUAUAAGUCUUUAAAUUAUGGUUGAUUAAACUAUAUAAUUGAUUCUUGUUGUUCUUAUUCCCAGAGUUUCAACAGUUUACAUACUUAAGUUGUUAUAUGUUCAUGUUCACAUGAACCUUAUGAGCUUUGUUGGCAUACAAUAACCUUUAUCCUUGUAUGUUGCAUCUUUGUAGAUUGUGAGUUUCUGAACCGAUAUUCUGAUAAUUAUGAUUGAAUGGAUCUUAAGGUAUUUUAGUUUAUAUCUCAUAUCCUUUAAUCUUAAGAAGGAACCCUAAGUGUUUAUAUGUUAUUUCCUUGCUCAUGUCUGUUAGACUGUUUCUGAGUUGCUACUAUGGUCUUUCAUUUUGUUUAGUUGCUUGUUGCUUUUGUUAACAUGAUCUUAUUUGAACUAAACCUCUCAUUUCUUCUCUCUAUAAUCUUAUGGUACACACUUGUUAAGGUUAUGUCAUCUUUCCUCAUAAUGUGAUUAGGAUUAUGCUAUUUCCUCUCUGUUAUAAAGAAUGGUAAUAGGAUAAACUGAACAUAACUAUUUUCUUGAUUAGUCAACUCCCUGAGUAACAUGUUUAUUUGAUAUCUCCUACCUCUUAUAUUUAGGGUCAUCAUGCAUAUUUAUAUUUUUAAGAACCUAGCUACUCUUCCCUAUUUAAGUAAUAACUUGUAAAAAAGGAAGUAUGAUCAACCCUGUAUUCAUGUACUGACUUAGAACAAAGUUUUUAGUUAAACCUGUGUUGAUGUAGUGUCUUUCCCUUAUCUGUAACCUUUUACUUAUUUCAACUCUCAAAAUGUAUAAGGUUUUCCCUUGUUUACAUAAGAAGCAUCACUGCAUUUGAAAUGUUUUAGUACCUGACUGAAUGUUGCAUGCUCUUGUUUAGUUUAUCAUUAUAUAUCAUGUGCAGAACUGCCCAAAUCCUUGCUCUUUUGAUAACUCUAAAACCACGUGGAAUCCCUAAAGUCUCAUAGGGAUCCUGGUUAACGUUAUCUGAACUUGAUGAUAUAUUAGGAGUAUGAUUUGUAGAAAUCCUUUGGAACCCCUGUUGUGGUAUGCAAAUUUAUACUUGUUGAAAGCCUUGAUCAUGUCCUUGAUGCCUUCAACAACCACUGAAAAAUGACUAGUCAUGACUGUGUUGCCUGAAUUUACAUUGCUCAUUCUCUUUAAAAGUAUUAAUGUGGCAGUGCGAACCUAUGUAUGUGCUGAAAACAAAGUCAUCCAGUUCACACUAGGUUUACCAUACACAAGGAGCCUCUAUAUAUGCUGAGUUGCUGUUGUAUAGCUUUACCUUUCUUUGGAGUAUUGCAUUACUGUAAAUUUGGAGUGUUGUAACAUGUUGGGGAUGUUUUUAAUGUUCACAUGUAUGAGUUUCAGAAUCAGAAUUUUUCUUUCAUGUGAUGUAUAUGUUUGUUUGGUCAUCCAGUAUAGUCUAUAUGUUCUUAUGAUAGGAGGGAAGGUAUAUAUUUUGUGGUAGGUAAUGCUAUAGCACUUGAUUUGCAUUGGAAGGGCCUCAUUGGCAUUUAAACCCAUAAGAAAAAUAUGUUGUUAGUGUUUAAGGGUAUUUGGGAGCGGAGUUCGACUCUAGGUUGGGCUGCCCUCCCUAGCACAAGCAUUGCCCCAGGCCUUGAGUCCCUUGGGAACUUUGAAAUGUCGGGGGAUCCAAAGGGAGCAUCCACCUCGAGUGGAGCUUCCUCCUUAGCCCUUAAUUCAUUGACACAUUUAGUUCUUUAUGGGUUUAAUGUUUAAUGACAACAAAAGGUUUUGUGUGAAUUAUUUGUUAAGUAAAACCACCACAUAAAUAUAUAAUUUCCCAUAGUAUUAAUCAUUUACUUGUUUCAAUUAUUUGUUUAUAUAUUUGUCAUGUAUAUUAGAAUAUGCUGAGAAUAUGAAGUAUAUUUCUAAUGACCUUCUUUUUUCUUUUGGGCAUGUGUAUAUUUGGGACAGCUGAGUUCUUAAGGAACUCAAGCCCAAACCAGCUCUUGUUGCAUUUUGAAGAGUCCAGUAUUUCCAUGGCCGCAUCUCUCAAGUUGCUGGGCCUACCUUGUUGGGGCCUAAUUAUCAGAGUCCAGUCCUCUCUCUGUACCUCAUUUGUUAUUGUUCUUCAUUUCCAUAGCUUAGUUUACUGCUUUCAUCAUCAUUCGCUUAUUGCCCUUAUUGUUGUUUUUAUCAUAUGAUGUCCUCUUGUAUUUAACACUCGUAUAUUAGAUUAUGUACUUUACUUCCAUGAUCUAGUAUUACAUGAAACUUAGGUAAAC